ensembl:snoRNA
GUUUGAAUGAUGACUCUUCAAUUUGUCGGAUACCCCUUCACUUUUUUUUAUGAGUGAUAACAGUGGUCUGACAAAC